rnacentral:rRNA from 1 species
UACGGAGGGGGCUAGCGUUGUUCGGAAUUACUGGGCGUAAAGCGCACGUAGGCGGCUUUACAAGUCAGGGGUGAAAGCCCGCGGCUCAACCGCGGAAUUGCCCUUGAGACUGUAUCGCUUGAACACGGGAGAGGUGAGUGGAAUUCCGAGUGUAGAGGUGAAAUUCGCAGAUAUCAGGAAGAACACCCGUGGCUAAGGCGGCUCUCUAGUACGGUACUGACGCUGAGACGCGAAAGCGUGGGGAGCGAACAGG